GUGAGGAAUAUUGGACAAUGGGCGCAAGCCUGAUCCAGCCAUGCCGCGUGCAGGAAGACGCAUCUAUGGUUCGUAAACUUCUUUUGCAGGGGAAUAAAGUGCAGGACGUGUCCUGUUUUGUAUGUACCCUGAGAAUAAGGAUCGGCUAACUCCGUGCCAGCAGCCGCGGUAAUACGGAGGAUCCGAGCGUUAUCCGGAUUUAUUGGGUUUAAAGGGUGCGUAGGUGGUUUGAUAAGUCAGCGGUGAAAGUUUGCAGCUUAACUGUAAAAAUGCCGUUGAAACUGUCGGACUUGAGUGUAAAUGAGGUAGGCGGAAUGCGUGGUGUAGCGGUGAAAUGCAUAGAUAUCACGCAGAACUCCGAUUGCGAAGGCAGCUUACUAAGCUACAACUGACACUGAAGCACGAAAGCGUGGGGAUCAAACAGGAUUAGAAACCCUUGUAGUCC
rnacentral:rRNA from 1 species